rnacentral:rRNA from 1 species
AGAGUUCGAUCCUGGCUCAGAUUGAACGCUGGCGGAAUGCUUUACACAUGCAAGUCGAACGGCAGCACGGGGCAACCUGGUGGCGAGUGGCGAACGGGUGAGUAAUACAUCGGAACGUGCCCAAUCGUGGGGGAUAACGUAGCGAAAGUUACGCUAAUACCGCAUACGAUCUACGGAUGAAAGCGGGGGAUCGCAAGACCUCGCGCGAGUGGAGCGGCCGAUGUCAGAUUAGGUAGUUGGUGGGGUAAAGGCUCACCAAGCCAACGAUCUGUAGCUGGUCUGAGAGGACGACCAGCCACACUGGAACUGAGACACGGUCCAGACUCCUACGGGAGGCAGCAGUGGGGAAUUUUGGACAAUGGGCGCAAGCCUGAUCCAGCCAUUCCGCGUGCAGGAUGAAGGCCUUCGGGUUGUAAACUGCUUUUGUACGGAACGAAACGGCGAGCUCUAAUACAGUUUGCUAAUGACGGUACCGUAAGAAUAAGCACCGGCUAACUACGUG